CCUCGGGUUGUAAGCACUUUCAGUGGGGAGGGAAAAAUUCAGGGCUAAUACCUCUGAAUAUUGACGUUACCUACAGAAGAAGCACCGGCUAACUCUGUGC
rnacentral:rRNA from 1 species